UUUUAGCCCCGAUUGUAGUGGAAAGCUCCCGAUUUUAUCGGGACUUGCAACGAAAAGCGGGAAUAUGG
rnacentral:sRNA from 1 species